ACUGCUCAGUAACACGUGGAUAACCUGCGCAAGGGUCUGGGAUAACCCCGGGAAACUGGGGAUAAUACCGGAUGGAUCACUAGUGCUGGAAUGCUUGGUGGUCGAAAGGCAACGCCUUUGGAUGGGUCUGCGGCGGAUUAGGUUGACGCCGGUGUAACGUACCGGCGUGCCUGUAAUCCGUACGGGUUGUGGGAGCAAGAGCCCGGAGAUGGAUUCUGAGACACGAAUCCAGGCCCUACGGGGCGCAGCAGGCGCGAAAACUCUACAAUGCAGGCAACUGCGAUAGGGGGACAUCGAGUGGCAUCCACCUUGGGUGCCUGUCCAACCGUCUAAAAAACGGUUGUUAGCAAGGGCCGGGUAAGACCGGUGCCAGCCGCCGCGGUAAUACCGGCGGCUCGAGUGGUGGCCGAUAUUAUUGAGUCUAAAGGGUCCGUAGCCGGCUUUGCAAGUCCCCUGGGAAAUCCAGCGGCUUAACCGUUGGGCUUUCAUGGGAUACUACAUUGCUUGGGACUGGGAGAGGUAGGAGGUACUCGGGGGGUAGGGGUGAAAUCCUGUAAUCCUCCGGGGACCACAGGUGGCGAAGGCGUCCUACCAGAACAGGUCCGACGGUGAGGGACGAAAGCUAGGGGCACGAACCGGAUUAGAUACCCGGGUAGUCCUAGCCGUAAACGAUGCCCGCUAGGUGUCACGACGGUCGUGAAUCGUCGUGGUGCCGUAGGGAAGCCGCGAAGCGGGCCACUUGGGAAGUACGGCCGCAAGGCUGAAACUUAAAGGAAUUGGCGGGGGAGCAC
rnacentral:rRNA from 1 species